rnacentral:lncRNA from 1 species
UGAAUGAUCUCUGAGCUAAGUAAACAUGUCUUCAGCAUCUUUAUAUCUUCCAGAUAACUUUCAAACGCCGGCCAUUCUUUUGGUUCUGAAACCAUCUUCACCAAUUGAGAACAAUCCGUAGCAAACGUGACUUGAUAUUGAUGUAAAUUCCUCAUACACUCCAUUGUCCAUAUUAACGCUUCCAUCUCUGAAUGGAGGGGUGAAAGACUUGCCCGAAUAUUCCUUGCACCCAACAAACCAUGAAACAAUCAAGAAUACUAUACUAACCCUAGCCGGAAUACUGCUCUUUAUCUUUCCACGAACCAUCUAUAAAGCACCAGCGACCUGCCC